rnacentral:lncRNA from 1 species
GCAAAUACCAUCUGCUCUGAGAGUCAAACUGCAGGCCUGGAGCAGCAGCUUCUGCUGUUCUGUAUGCAGACAUCCAGGCACCACACCAAACAUCCAGGUACCACCCCAGACAUCCAGGCACCACACCAAACAUCCAGGUACCACCCCAGACAUCCAGGUACAACCCCAGACAUCCAGGUACCACUCCGGACAUCCAAGUACCACCUCGGACAUCCGGUACCACCCCAGACAUCCAGGCACCACACCAAACAUCCAGGUACCACCCCAGACAUCCAGGUACAACCCCGGACAUCCAGGUACCACCCCAGACACCCAGGUACCACACCAAACAUCCCAGGUACCACCCCAGACAUCCAGGUACAACCCCAGACAUCCAGGUACCACUCCGGACAUCCAAGUACCACCUCGGACAUCCGGUACCACCCCAGACAUCCAGGCACCACACCAAACAUCCAGGUACCACCCCAGACAUCCAGGUACAACCCCGGACAUCCAGGUACCACCCCAGACACCCAGGUACCACACCAAACAUCCAGGUACCACCCACCCAGUCCAGGUACCACCCCAGACAUCCAGGUACCACCCCAGACAUCCAGGUACAACCCCAGACAUCCAGGCACCACCCCAGACAUCCAGGUACCACACCAGACAUCCAGGCACCACUCUGGAUAUCCAGGUACCACCCCGGACAUUCAGAUACCACCCUGGACAUCCGGUACCACCCCGGACAUCCAGGUACCACCCCAGACACCCAGGUACCACCCCAGACAUCCAGGUACAACCCCAGACAUCCAGACACAACUCCAGACAUCCAGGUACAACCCCAGACAUCCAGGUACCACCCCAGACAUCCAGGUACCACCCCAGACAUCCAGGCACCACUUCAGACAUCCAGAUAUCUCUCUAGACAUCCAGGUACUGCUCUAGACAGACAUCCAGGUACCACACCAGA